rnacentral:rRNA from 1 species
UGGGAAAAGCUCAACUUUAAAAUCUGGCAGCUUCGCUGUCCGAGUUGUAGUCUCGAGAAGUGUUUUCCGCGUUAAUGCAUGUAUGAGUCUGUUGGAAUACAGCGUCAUAGAGGGUGAGAACCCCGUUCAUGACAUGCUUUUUAAUGCUCUGUGAUACACUUUCGAU